AAUAUCCUAUUGGUUAUACAGGUCAUCCCUAUUCAUGGUGGGAGGGGACUAUGCCAGGGAAUGAAAAGGA